GAGGAGGUUGGGGGGGACGACAAGAGACUAUGGUUCUCCAUCCCCCCACCUUCCGCCAUUCGUCUUCCCACCCCCAGCACUGUCCUGCCCAGACGCCAGCCUAGGGAGGGGUGAGGAGGAGGCUGCACUGGCGCUCGGGUCGCCGCACCUCCCCGCAGCCGCGCGCUCUCCGCAGUGACAGCAACCGCAACUGCAGCAGCACCCAGCUCCAUCCUCACCAGCCUGGACCUAGCCGUAGCCGGGCAGUUCGGGCUGAGGACCAGAAGCAGAAGGUGUGCAGGUGCCCCGAGUCCCCCACUCCAUUGACCGAAGCGCAAGAAACCCGGAGUGGGCUAGAUGCGGUACUGCACCGAGGGGACUGAGAAAAAGAGGACUGGAAAACAUGAAGCGAUUCAGACGGGGUAGGAUUGAGCCCCAGAGUCCGCACAGAGGACUUUGGCAGGGCCUGGGGCGGCAAGGGUGGCUUCAAGGAACCGGAGGGUUCUGACCACUGCAGAUGCGGCGCAUGUGGGUGCGGCGAAAGCACCCACUUCUCCCAGGAUCUAAACGGAUAAACGGAAGCGAGUGUAAGUGUGGGGGGUGCGAAUCGCCACCUCCGGCCUUGGCUUUCCCGUUCGUGAGAGCACCCCCACUUCUCACUUUCCCAAAAUCCGCAUUUUUCUUGGCACAGCCCUCCCGAACACCGAGCUAGGAGAGGGAGGUGCCCGGGGGCAGUGAGAGUGACGUGUGCUGGUGCAGAGGGGGGGUGGGGGGCUGCGGGCUGGGCUCUGUGGACCGACUCCUAAUCCUCUUGUUUUCGGAACCGUCAGCAGAUGUGGCUUCUCUUAGCUGAAUAAUCCGUUAAAGGAAUAAUAAUUUUUAAAAAGGACUUCGGCCUCACCCAACGAGGACAGUGAAGGAGAUCAGCGCCUGAUCUGCCUUUGGUUUGGACUGGCUGAGACGCUGCGGGCUGCAACCAGUGUCUUUUAAAGGAGAACAAAAAGAUGAGGAUCUUGUGCGGGGCUCCGGGACAAAGCGUCUUGGGCCCGGUGACAAGGGACGCGCGGAACUCUGGCUCCCCGACUGAAGAGAUCAACGCUGCCCAAUGGUACCCAGCAGGACCUGCGGACCUCUGAGGCGAGAGGACCGCAGCAGGAGAGUUCCGGAAGGCUGAUUCCCACAGAUCCUGGUAAGGGACCACUGCGGCUCUGCCCUGCGGCACGCCCGGCCAGGCUGCACCAGGACUCUACAUUCUAGGAAAAAGCUUGGAAACGAAAGGAUGCGGGAGAACAAAGAGCCUACGGAGGACGUGGCUGUUAUCUCAUUGUCUGUGACUGGGGGAGCUGCGGUAGGAAGGAUGCGGUGGUCCUUAGCUCAUCGCGUUCCCCAACCCCACACCCUCCCUGCUGUCAGUGCGCACGCACACGCACGCGUCGCCAGCUUUUUUUUUCUCAUCCCUCGUUUUUUUCAUUUCAUCU